rnacentral:lncRNA from 1 species
GGAAACAGUCUGUUCACAGGGACACAUAAAUCACAUUAACACCACCGCUAAUACUGUUCUCCCCACAGAGUCUGGAGUUUACAUAUGCAUUAACAGUAUACUGCAGGAUGGAGAUGCCCCCAUGGACUGAUCCAAGGACCUGAGCCCUAGGACCAUGCCUCAGUACUACCUGGCUUGAUGACUCCUUGCUGUCCCCAGUUCACCUGGCCGUGCUGCUGCUCCAGUUCCAACUGUUCUGCCUGCAGCUAUGGAACCCUGACCUGUUCACCGGACGUGCUACCUGUCCCAGACCUGCUGUCCCAGACCUGCUGGAACCCUGACCUGUUCACCGGACGUGCUACCUGUCCCAGACCUGCUGUUUUCAACUCUCUAGAGACAGCAGGAGUGGUAGAGAUACGCUCAAAGAUCGGCUAUGAAAAAGCCAACUGACACUUACUCUUGUGUUACUGACUUGUUGCACCCUCGACAACUACUAUGAUUAUUAUUAUUUGACCAUGCUGGUCAUUUAUGAACAUUUGAACAUCUUGGCCAUGUGCUGUUAUAAUCUCCACCCGGC